CCAGCCAGUGCUGAGCGAUGAGGAUCUCUCGGGACAACUGGCACAAGCGCCGCAAGACUGGGGGCAAGAGAAAGCCCUACCACAAGAAGCGGAAGUAUGAGCUGGGACACCCCGCUGCCAACACCAAGAUUGGCCCCCGCCGCAUCCACAUGGUCCAAGUGCGGGGAGGUAACAAGAAAUACCGUGCCCUGAGACUGGACGUGGGCAACUUUUCCUGGGGCUCUGAGUGUUGAAUUUGCAAAACAAGGGUCAUCGAUGUUGUCUACAAUGCUUCCAAUAACGAGUUGGUCCGUACUAAAACCCUAGUGAAGAACUGUAUUGUGCUCAUUGACAGCACACCAUACCGACAGUGGUUUGAGUCCCACUAUGCGCUGCCCCUGGGUCGCAAGAAGGGGGCCAAGCUGGCUCCUGAGGAGGAAGAGAUUUUAAACAAAAAACGAUCCCCCAAAAUUCAGAAGAAAUAUGAUGAAAGGAAAAAGAAUGCCCAAAUCAGCAGUCUUCUGGAGGAGCAGUUCCAGCAGGGCAAACUUCUUGCUUGCAUUGCAUCAAGACCAGGCCAGUGUGGUCGAGCAGAUGGCUAUGUGCUAGAAGGCAAGGAGCUGGAGUUCUAUCUGAGGAAAAUCAAGGCCUGGAAAGGCAAAUAAGUCCUCUUCCCUAGCUCAUGUAAUAAAGCCGUUUAUUAUUCUGUGUCCAAAAAAAAAAA